GUCUGCCUCCCGCGGCGGGCCGGGUCUCCAGGGAGGACCUGAGUUUUCUUCACCCAUGGUCAGGGAGGCGCCAUCGCCCUGGCUUUGGGGCUGGGGCCUCCGGGGAGGUUCCGGUAGGGGCGUUGGAGAGGCCGCCCUUUUUGCAAGGCCCGAGACGGCGGGACCUGCACAAGCCGCCCUAUUCCAUGCCCUCAGGGCGUCAGUAUCCGCCUCAGGCCAGAUAACCCCUCUGGGCCCCGGGUGCCCCCGCUGGGCCCGGAGCAUCCUCGGCGCUGCCCUCCCAGAGCCCCGCAGAGGCUGAGGUGGCACGGGUUGGAGGGCCUGGCUCUGCGAGAAGCGGCGGCAGCGAGGGCUGGAGGACCCGGGCUACGUGGCUCUGGGGCGUCUGGCCUGGGUGGGACUGAGCCCAUCCAGGGACUGGGACUCCGGGGUUCUGGUGUAGGUGGAUCCGGGGCAGGCUCAGGACCAAGUCCCUCUCCUUCCACCAAGGAGCACCCAGAGGCCGGCGGGAGCUCCAGGUUCACCUCCUCUUCCUCCAGGAAAUCCCACUUCCAACUGGAUGUCUGGAUGAACUACUGAAAGCUGCUGAGUGUCCUGCAGCAGAUAGGGUCUCUCUCUCUGCCACUCAGGCCAGAGUGCAGUUGACGCAGAGCAGGGGAGCCCUGAAAUGGAGCAUAGUGUGUCCGGAACUGGUGGGUUCUUGGUCUCACUGACUUCAAGAAUGAAGCUGCGGACCCUCGGGA
rnacentral:lncRNA from 1 species